UUGCAGGUUAAGUUACGGAUUAGCUGUUCAGUGCUAUACCGUCGUUCCCCCUGCACAUAGAAAUCUGUUUCCUACUAUCCCUGUUUGUCUGCAUCCUACGACUACCAGGGACGCUUGGUUUCAGACAU